rnacentral:rRNA from 1 species
UACGAAGGGGGCUAGCGUUGCUCGGAAUUACUGGGCGUAAAGCGCACGUAGGCGGCUCUUUAAGUCGGGGGUGAAAUCCUGGAGCUCAACUCCAGAACUGCCUUCGAUACUGAAGAGCUCGAGUCCGGGAGAGGUGAGUGGAACUGCGAGUGUAGAGGUGAAAUUCGUAGAUAUUCGCAAGAACACCAGUGGCGAAGGCGGCUCACUGGCCCGGUACUGACGCUGAGAUACGAAAGCGUGGGGAGCAAACAGG